UACGUAGGGGGCAAGCGUUGUCCGGAAUCAUUGGGCGUAAAGCGCGUGUAGGCGGCCCGAUAAGUCCGCUGUGAAAGUCCAGGGCUCAACCCUGGGAUGCCGGUGGAUACUGUCGGGCUCGAGUCCGGAAGAGGAGUGUGGAAUUCCUGGUGUAGCGGUGAAAUGCGCAGAUAUCAGGAGGAACACCAAUAGCGAAGGCAGCUCGCUGGGACGUUACUGACACUGAGGCGCGAAAGCGUGGGGAGCGAACAGG
rnacentral:rRNA from 1 species